CAAGCACCAAACGGGGUUUCCCACACCGGCGCUUGUACAGGACGCCUCAGGCGGUAUCCGGAACGGUCUUGCGAGCCGCGCGCUCGCUAUAAAGCGGGGCGUCAGGCGACACGCGCACUCUUUGGAAAAGGUACAUGUUGAACCUGAGCAGCCAUCCAGCCACUCCUGUCUCAGUAAGAAGCCUCACUCCCACCUGUCCUGCCCAGGCCUUCGGGCAACUUUGUAUCAAGUAUCUCUAGCAUCUAAUUCAUGUGUCAACAAUCAUAUUCAGGACAUAGCCUGCUCUCUGACCUACUGAUCUUGGAUUUGUCAGCCCCUGCAGUUACGUGAGUCAGGUAAAGCCUCCAUCCUGACGCCUGACCCACAGACUUUGGACUUGCCAGCCUCUACAGCUGUAGAACCCAGCCUAAGACAGCGUUAGAGGCCAGGCAUGGUGCUGGGGAGGGGGCUGCCUCGUGGUACCCCGGAGGCCAUGUGUUGGUCAUCUUUCCUGCCUGAGCUUUUGAGAUCUCAACUGUGCUGUCCCUCACAGGACUACAGGUGGUUCUUCAGGAGUCAGACGCCAUCUCGCAGACCCAGCAGUUAGAGCUGACAGCACACCGGUGCCCACCCACCCAGGCCAGGGAAACCACUACCACACACAUAUUCACCAACUUUAUAGCCACUUCACAUCGCUUCAAGCAGCACUACAAGCCCGUGAUCGCCUAGAUUUUGCUGGUGUACGACAGGCCCUGUCUCUGGAACUCGGAGGAACCAGGGAUUCUGGUUAGGCUGACUUGGCACCCUCUUCAGCUACUGCCGCCGGACCCUGAAGUCGAACACCAGCUGCUGCUUACCUGGCUACUGCGGGCCUGGCACCUGCAAAGUGCUCCCCUGGCCCUGGGCCACCCUGGAGGGAGGUGUGCAGCAGGUGUGGGAGCUGAGCAUGCUCAGCUGAAUCUACUGUGACCCACCCAUGGCCUCCCCGCAGCACCCUGAGGACAUGCCCUUCGCCCACGACCUGUAGUGGCACAUCCUGACAGAUGCAUCAGAGGAGUUGCGUCCGUUGCUUGUCACAGUGGUGGUCAAGGGCCAGAUGGUGCUGGAGGCAAUGAAGGCUGGCUGGACCUUGGCAGACUUUGGCCCGCUGAAGUGCAAGGCCAGCCCUGCCCUCAGGUCCUGCUGGCACCCAAGCCCACAAGCAAGGACCUGAUGUGCUGGCUGCAGGGCCCUGAGUGCCCAGGGAGAAGGUGGAGAUGCAGCUGCCUGCCCACAGGCUGCAUGAGGAGCAGUCCCUGCCACUGCCCUACGGUGACUCAGCCUGCAAGGAGGAGCCACCGAAGCACCAUGCUAGGCCCCAGGCCCCGUGUGUGGUCACACUGAGACUGCCUAGCCUGGGCCCUCAUGCUGGCACUUGGGGGACAGGGUGAAGGGAGACUGAUACUUGGUGAGACAGGACAGGGAGUGUACGUAGGGUGGGCGCGAGUCCUUCCCCAUGUAUCCGCAGUCACAAGAGCAGAAGGCCUUCACAGGGAGCAGGCCACACCCUGAUAGCCCAGAAGAGAGGAGUGUCCUCAUCUCACCACUUCUAAACGUAUCACUGGCCAGAGCUUGAUGACAGGGUGGCAGGCAAGAGCCCUUGGGGGAAGGGUGUGUGGUCAGUUCACUUCUCCCUGUAUAGCAAAGGGGAUGGGCACGAUAGUGCCCCCAUCCCUCUGCCACCUAGGCCCUUGAAGCACUGCAGGCCAAGUGGGAAGACUCGUGAAGCACUCCUUUUUUUGGGUAAGGCUUUUUAAAAAUGCAAUCCUUUUACGUAGUACUUUAUACUAAGCAUUGCAGAUAAGCAGUUUGGCCCCCACAGCCUCCAGAACAAAAGUAUGUGCCCCAUGGGAGAAUUGACCGCCACCCUGGUGUCUUUUAACUCAGUAAUGUAAUUAAUUAAUACAAGCUUACAAAGUGUAAUCUUAUAUCUGGGGGAGAAGGAAUAUUUCAUUGGCACCAUAAGGCCAGGAACAGCCACACGAUGGUCACAUAUUGUCACAGGAUGGUCAUGCCCUUUGCGUCUUAACAAAGGAGUAUGAGCAGACCUUAAAAUUGGGGCUGCUUGGCAUGAUUGAAUGGGUUAAUCCCAGACCUAAAUUGAAAUUCUAAGUUAAGGUGCAGCUAGGUUUGAAGGCUGCCUCUGCCUUCCACAUAAGACAAGGUGGCUUCGUGUGAAAGUUUUAAUUGUUCGUGGCACAGACUGUAGAGACGUGGGCCUUAGCUCAUGUAAAUAACCUUGCUAUGUCUUAACUGCUCUCAGGCAAGUCAUCCUGUCAAUCUCUGCUCAUUCCCUCCUAGCCAGAUGGGCAGUGUUCACAUUACAAAAGGUUUCAGGUUAGCGCUGAUUUAAUCUCCUUCCUCACCAAGUGGCCAACUUUUACAUUUCAAGGACUCCAACUAGGGUUGAACCAGCGGACCUACAGUUGGUCACUAAACCUGUGAACUGAUCUACAGACCUUUUCAAAUUUCCCCAGUAUUCCCACUCAUGUCGUUCCUCUGACCUGGGAUCCAAUCCAGGAUCUCAGAUUCCAUCUAGUUACCAUAUAUUGCCUUUCAGUUGUUGGGUGCCAUCGAGUCAAUUCCAAUUCAUAGAGACUAUAGGGCAGAGUAAACUGCCUGAUAGGGUUUCCAAGGCUGUAAUCUUUACAGGUGAUUGGGAAGCUGGCACAGGACCGGGCAGUGUAUUGUUCUGUUAUACACAGGGUCACUAUGAGUCAGAACCGACUUGACAGCACCUAACAACAUUUACAGGGGCAGAUCGCCAGGUCUUUGUCCCUUGGAGCCACAGGGUGGGUUCAGACUGCCUACCUUUCAGUUAGCAGCCGAGCGCCAACUAUGACGCCACCAGGGCUCCUUACGUAUGCCAUCGAGUCAGUUCCGACUCAUGGCAACCCUAUAGGACAGAGUAGAACUGCCCCAUAGGAUUUCCAAGGCUGUAAAUCUUUAUGGAAGCAGACUGCUACAUCUUUCGGGGAGUGGCUGGUGGGUAGAAACCGGUGACCUUUUGGUUAGCUGCUGAGUGCUUCACCACUGCACCACCCAGGCUCUUUACAUAUAUACCAACACGUAUAUACAUACCAACAUACACACGUAUGGAACCCUGGUGGUACAGGAGUUAAACACUGGGCUGCUAGCCAAAAUGUGGUCAGUAUGAACCCACUCAGCCACGCUGCAGGGGAAAGACCCAGCAAUCUGCAUCCGUAAAGAUGACAGGGCAAAAAAUCAUACGGAGCAGUUCUACUCUGUCACAUGAGGCGGUUAGGAGGCAAAAUCGACUCAAUGGUGUAAGGACAAGUACAAGGGGAACAAACGGUACCUCUCCCUGGUGAAAAUAGGGGAAGGAGCUCCCCUUCUCCGCUGCUGUCUUUCGAAUUCAUUUUAGAUAACUUGUAAAUUCUGUGUCUUCCUGGAAAGUGUGUCAGCGUAACUUCAAGUUUCUCAUAUACCUUCCUGUUUUUCAUAGAAGGAGAUUAGCAUAAAUUUAGGUGGCCCACCCUAUCUCUGAGCCAGAAGGAUUAGAAAAGUAACGUUUAUCUUUAAAAUAUGACCGUAAUGACUGUACCCCCUUACCUAUUUAAUGGUUAAGAUUUUGUUCUGUCUUUGCAAUCUCUCGUGGAAAAUCUGUGAUGAAUCACAUUCUCGUUUAAUGCUUAUUCAAUAAUAAAACUUCCUUGUCUUUUUGCAGAGAGGUUUUCUGGGUUGGAAGUAUGCCCAAAACCCACUGCUGUCAAGGUGAUUCCAACUCAUAGUGACCCCAUAGGGUUUCUGAGGCUGUAAUCUCUGGAAGCGGACUGCCACAUCUUUUCUCCCGUGGAGCCACUGGUGGUUUCAAACUGCCAGCCUUUCAGUUAGCAGUCGAUCGCUUUAACUGCACCAGGAGUAGAUUUUGUUUUUAGUAACUUCCCCAACAGUGCCACCUAACAACAAUAUAUGCACUCAUAUACCAAGCCUUAUACACUCACACACAGCCACAUGCACACAUAAAAAAAAACAAACCUGUUGCCGUCGAGUCGAUUCCAACUCAGCAACCCUAUGGGACAAAGUAGAACUACCCAUAGAGUUUCCAAGGAGCGCCUGGUGGGUUCGAACUGCUGACCUUUUGGUUAGCAGCUGUAGCACUAAACCACUACACGACCUAAGUGUAAAAACAAAUGUCCAUAUAUACCACGCUUGCAGCACAAACACACAGACCUGCCUGUGACUUCCAAGUAGGUCACCAUCCCCACUGCAGGCCCAGCUCCCGCUCCCCCCACACACAGGUGCACACAGUAAAUCACAGGAGCCUGAGGAGCGGUGAGCAGUCGUGUUGGGAUCAGGUGUCAGCUAUAAGGGGGUAGGGUUGGGAUUACCCCAGGUUCUGACUCACACAGGGCCCCCCCAGGCCCUCAGGCAGCCCGGUCUCCAGGCCAGCACGCCCAGCCCCAAACUGAGGGCUGCUAGCACGGCCACAGCUCCGGCCAGCAGGGGCAUCGCAGUGGCUGUGGGGAGAAUAGGGGGUGUUAUAGAUUGAAUUGCGUCCCCCCAAAUUCUGUGUUGUAAAUCCUAAUCCCUAUACCUGUGGUUGUAGGCCUACUUGGGAAUGAGUUUUCUUUGUUAUCUUAAUGGGUUAAUACAAGUAGUGUCCUGAUGUGUGAUGUAUUCUAGUUACUAUAAGCUGCAGUUAACUUCUGAUCUGGGGCGGGGGGCUUACAUAACGCACGUAUAAUUGGAGAACAGGAAGCACCGAUGUUGAAGCUGUAAGUUUAUAUGUAAUACUUCCAACCCCCAAAGACAAAGAUUGGAUUUAUAAAGAUACUGAUAAUAAAAGACAGUAAUACUGAAAACUAAAAAAAAAAGUAUUGGAGCUUUGUCAGAACCAAUUUAAGAUGGAGUUGUCAAAACAUAAUCCUGUCAUAAAUCAGGGGCUACCUGUAUUAGCUUGGGUAUGUCUUGAGUCAAUCUCUUGACAUAUAAAAGGAACAGAUGAAGCAAGCAGAGAUGGAGGAAGGCAGAUGCUAUGCUACCUGAAGAUCACCAGGGAGCCAAGGAACAAGCUGAAAAGAGACAAGGACCUUCCCCCAGAGCCGACAGAGAGAGCCUUCCCCUAGAGACAGCGGCCUGAAUUCGAACUUCUAGCCUCCCAAACUGUGAGAAUAUAACUUUGUUUGUUAAAGCCA